ensembl:lncRNA
AUCGUACGUACCGAGACGUCUUCAUGGGUUGUUUUUACACGGCCGUCUUCUUUACUGGAUUUGCAACAGAGAUCAGAGAAACUCAGCACACUAAUCACCCAUUGGUUCCCCUUCCAUCAAAUAAUGUAAAAAACAUGGUUUGAUUGACGUGACAUUCACAGGCAUUUUAUUACGAAAUGCAUUGAGUCAACGUCAGUUCUCUUACCUGGUUACAAAGACCAUGUUUAAAUAGAUGCUGUUUGGCAGAAUCCCUCUGAGCUGCAGGAACAACAAAAAGCAGAUAACAGUUGUUAUCGCUGUGAUUUGCUGUGGGCGGACAGAACGUAAAUAGCACUCAUUCAACAGCUGUAUAAUUCUUACAGAUACAGCCUCACACUUGUUGUACGCUUGUUUGUUUCUCACCCAUUUGUGUGCGAUGUCUCUCGCUGUGUAGAACUCAGUGUUGUUCCCGUCAUAACGGAAGAUGGCAAACAUCAGUGUCACUUCGUAAGAGGACCAUACUGCCCAGCAGCCAAAGGAAAUAUAAAGCACCGUUAAGGACGCGUUAACGUAGGUAAAGAAAACGUUCACAGCAGCAACGGUGAAUUGCAGACCAUCCUUACUCUUAUUAUUAUCAUUAUUGUGAAGGAUGUUUCCAUGGUACAAAGCUCAGUAUUUGGUAGAUAUAUUUUGGAUACAUUUUUUUUAAUAAUAAUAAGAUAAAUAAAUAAAAUAAUUAAGGUGAUUAAUGUGGUGUGGUGACAAUAAUGUCAAUAACUCCCACAAUGUGAAAAAGAAAACUAGACGGGUUAAUUGCUCAAACCCAGCCAAGUCAUCACAAUCAGAGACAUGCAGACGCCGCCUUGUAAACAAAGGUUAACAUAAAGUUUUAUGGUGUCCAUCACAGCUCGUUCUAGCUUUGCAAAAAGACAAAACACAACCUCUGACAGCUGUAUGAUUAAAUGCUCCCGAUCGUCAUGUUAUUGAUCACAGUAAAGCUUCUAUAUUUACUGAACUGACAAAGAGACAGUGGGUCAAUAUUGUAUUGGAGGGUUGAGGACACACAGUAAGCCGAGGCAGCCACGGUGGAAACCAUUAAGCAUGGAAAAGGCUGUAAAACACUCGAUGACACUGACAGAACAUUUACUGCCUCAAAGUGAAUCACCGACCGGUGCGUUAACACUGUGGGAAAAGGGGAAGGAAAACUUCUUGCUUUCAAAUUUUAAAUAAAACGCUGUACUUUAGUCGAAAAUAAUGAGAGAAAACAUAUUCCGGGGGACGUAAAUGUCGUGUAAAAGUGUCCCAUCGGCUCACCGCACCGCAGGCUGGGGUCAGGGAUCGGAGCACAGGCCUGAGAGUCCCAGUCGUCCCAGUCGUCCCUCUCCCACUUCACCAGGGUGCCUUCUGUGCAAUUCAGUGACGUCACUUCCUGUUGGCUCCUCUCUCGAUCCCAGAAUCGAAAUAGAGAUAAUGUUCCCACCGGAGCGGGAAGCGAGACAACCUCCCCGUUGACCCAGGGUUGUGAUGCACCCAGAGUAAGCGCCCCACCGGGGGCUAGUUUGCAGCUCGAGUCGAUAAAGGAGGGAGUUGAAUCUACGUUGUGAGGCAGGAGAGGAGGAAACAGCAGAAAAUGUCAUGAAACCGUUUUAUGACCUGCUUUUUUGGUAUGCAGAUUGUCUCAAAAUGAAGGUCCAGUAGGCCUACAAAUAACCUGGCGUGUGUCUAAUGGCUCCAAAGUAGAAAACGUGUAUGUUGAGACUCUGUUUUUCUUUGUCAUUCUUUCCCUCCCCAGAGCUCGGAGCUCUCCCUCCACCCACCUGCCUGGAUGUCCGCCAGGUUGCCGUUGACGUAGAGGGCCGGCCGGUCUUUAGCGUGCGUCCAGGUCAGGCACAGCGAGUACCACUGUGCCGGACGGAGGACGAUCUCAGCAGUGGUCCACUCCGUCCCCAGCAGCCACACCACUAAACGACCUUUCCUCCCCCCCAAGCCCAGCGCUGUGCCCUGAACCCCAGCAUGCGUGUACACGAAGGCGCUCCACGGUGCGGAGUCCUCAAUGGUCUAGAUGUGGUAGAUGAAUUAUUAUACUUGGUUCACAAAGAGUUGAACUGGUUAGUCCUCGUGGGAACGACUUGUGGGAGUUCAUCGUCGGUACCUUGAACUUCAUGCUGAAGCAGACGGUGAGCUCCCGCAGGUCGGGGAUGGACACAUUCAGUCUCCACUGGCUGCAGUUGGAGGUGAAGUCAGCAACCUCCCCCCACAGGCUGAGCCGAGGGGCUGCCGGACGCACACAACACGCAGUAAAUCAUUAACACACGGCACGGAGGAGCACAUGUCUCGUUCCUGAAGAUGCUUUUUGUACAUCUGAUGGGUGGAGCCGAAUGAAAAAGAUAAUGUCUGGUCAUUGUACUGUUGAUAUGUAGACAAUUGACUUAAUUAGAUUUAAAAACCCUGAUGUUUAAAGUCUGUAACAUCUGCAUGUGGGGAAAUCUCCAUUUAUGAACCUUACAUCAAAAUAGCUGCAACUGACGAUUAUUUUAAUGAUUAAACACAAAACAACAAAAGCUGGCUUCAUGUUUUUGACGAAGAUAUAUAACAUAUUUGUAAGUGCGAAGCUGUGUAGUGUUUAACUACUGUAAACUGUGUUUACUUUAGAUAUUCCUGCCUUAUUUACAAUGAACCGUGACUUUCUCACAGAUACCUGCAGGCUGUAAUCUAAGAGAUAAAAAGAACUCAGAGUUCCAUCAUAUCUCUUACUUUUGUGUAACCAUAACAAUGAAUAACUAUGACAUGUAUUAUAUUAUUUUGUAUUAUUACAGUAUUUUGAUUGAUGCAGAUUUGAAUGACAUUUAUUUAUGGAAAGUGACUUAACGCACCUGUUUCCAUAGUGAUGGAACUGCUCCACAGAGACAGGGUGAUAAACACAUGCAGGAUACUUCCAAGAACCAUAAUUCAAUUCUGAAACGGAGCAAAUUUGUUUUCAGUUCAACUGAAUAAAGCAAGUUCUGAAAUAUCCAUUAAAUAUAGACAUAUCAUACAAUAUUCUUAUCAAUAAAUGAGUUAUUUCUUCAUCUAUGAAUGAUGAUUUGUGAAUGCUGAUCUUAAGGACCACGUUUAGUUACUACCUUGAAAGUGCUUACCUGCAAAAAUAAAAUAUUCCAGAGAAUAUUGCUAAAGGUCAAUUCUGAACCUCAAAGUGUUGGGGCCACAAUGAUGUCUCUGCAAACACGGAUGGUGGAGCAGAGAACGCGUUUUCUU